rnacentral:snoRNA from 13 species
GAUUUGAAUGUGAUGAUAUAACGUAAUUACCUUGGGACACCUAUGAAAAGUUUUUGAUUAGUGUAACAGCUUACUGAUUAACUCAAU